GGGGUUAACUUGUAAAGUUAGACUUUUUCCUCUCUGCUUUUGUCACUGUCAGUCAUGGUGAAGUGUAAGACAGAGCUUUCCUUGCCCUCACUUACUAAAAUAAUUAAUUGUUGACUCCAAACAAGUCCUUGGGACAGGACUCAUCUUUGCUCUAGUGAACCUGAACUUUACUGUCUCUUUUACACACACUCUUUGUGGCCCCAUCUGAAAAUAAAACAUCACCUUGUGCUGCCUGUACACUGUGGCGAGGUUCGUGACACCCACAGACCAAUGACAGAGGGAAAUCUGGGGUCACACUUCACGACUUCCCGUUGUUUGUCCAGCAUGAGCCCGUUUCAGCUGCAUCCCAGGGGAGCUGGGUGCACCAGUAAAUCCAGCAAGGCUGAGGUGGGCAGGUUUUGGCAAUAGAACUUGGAUAAGUCUGCCCUGGAGUAGCUGAGGCUUGUGUGGUGCCUCAGCUGCUGGAGCUGAGUUUUGUGGUUAUUCUGCUGUCAUGUAUCUCAGUGUGUUAUUUGUAUGAAGAUGGUUUACUCUUGCCUUCCUGAUAGUUCAUGAAUUGAUUUUGCUAUUAUCUGUUGCGCUUAACACAGAUGCAGCUGUAUUGAGCAGUCUUAGGCAGUUAAAAAUACAGUUAAUGUGAAUAUUGAAUCACAGAGAUAAGGCUUUGAAAUGAGGUGCGGAAAUGCUGCUGCUUUAUGCACGGUGUAAUUGAAAAUUAAUGUCCUUACAGCAGCAGUGUGUGGAGCUUUUAACUGUCCUCCUUGUGUCCUAUCAAUAAUGUUUAAUGCCAGUUGAUACCUUUUGCUCUUGUGUCUAACUAUGCCUUUCUUGCCCAUGGGGAUGGAAAAAUGCUUCAGCUUUUCUUUCGUGGGACCUGCCUUUCACUCAGAACUAAUGUUGCCUUGCUCUUUUUCUGCUUCCCGCUCGUCAGGAUUUGGUGGGCUUGAAACUGCAAACUCCACGGCCAGUGGGUUUAAUUUUGGGGGUUUCGGAUUAACCGCUAAUCCCACGGUGAAUUUUAAUAUUGGGAAUUUCGGUGUUUCCACUACCUCAACUCCACCUUUCAAUUUUGGUAACAGUCUGGCAAGCGCAGGUGCCUUCGGAGGCUUUGGGACCACCACCACCACCGCGGCACCGGCGUUCAGCUUCUCUGCUCCCACCAACACCGGCACCGGCGGACUCUUUGGUGGUACCCAGAACAAAGGCUUUGGAUUUGGUACCAGUUUUGGCACAGGAACUGGAACUGGCUUGGGUAGUGGGCUGGGAACUGGGCUAGCCUUUGGAGGCUUUGGAACCCAGCAGCAGCAGCAGCAGCAGCAGCAGCAGCAGACCACAUUAGGCACGGGAUUGUUCAACCAGCCUGCCCAGGCACCCGCUCAGUCCAACCAGCUCAUUAACACAGCCAGUGCCCUCUCGGCCCCGACACUGCUGGGAGAUGAGAGGGAUGCCAUUCUGGCCAAAUGGAACCAGCUCCAGGCCUUCUGGGGCACGGGCAAAGGGUACUUCAACAACAACAUCGCUCCCGUGGAGUUCACGCAGGAAAACCCCUUCUGCAGGUUUAAGGCUGUGGGUUACAGUUUAAUGCCCAACAACAAAGAUGAAGAUGGCCUCGUGGUCUUGGUGUUUAACAGAAAAGAAGCAGAUAUUCGAAGCCAGCAGCAGCAGCUUGUAGAAUCAUUACACAAAAUUUUGGGGGGAAACCAGACCCUCACUGUCAAUGUCGAAGGUGUUAAAACGAUGCCUGAUGACCAGACAGAAGUGAUCAUUUACAUUGUGGAGCGCUCCCCCAAUGGCACCUCGAGGAGAGUUCCCGCAACAACCCUCUACGCCCACUUUGAGCAAGCCAACAUCAAAUCAUCCCUGCAGCAGCUGGGGGUCAGCCUGUCCAUGGCCAGGACAGAGCUGUCCCCGGCACAAGUCAAGCAGCUCCUGCAGAACCCUCCUGCCGGUGUUGAUCCUAUUAUAUGGGAACAAGCCAAAGUUGAUAAUCCCGAUCCUGAUAAGCUUAUUCCUGUGCCAAUGGUGGGUUUCAAGGAAUUGCUGAGAAGAUUGAAGGUCCAGGAUCAGAUGACCAAACAGCAUCAAACUCGAUUAGAUAUAAUAUCAGAAGAUAUCAGCGAGCUGCAGAAAAACCAAACAACAACUAUGGCAAAAAUUGCACAGUACAAAAGGAAACUGAUGGCGCUUUCGCACAGAACCUUGCAGGCUUCUUUUGCAGGUGCUAAUAAAGCAGGAGAUCCAAAGGAAAAGUGGUUAUGCCAUUCAAGCAGAUGAGGAGCAGCUUCGUGUACAGUUGGAUACAAUUCAGUGUGAACUUAAUGCACCCACGCAGUUCAAGGGCAGACUGAAUGAGCUCAUGUCCCAGAUCAGGAUGCAGAACCACUUUGGAGCAGUGCGGGCUGAAGAGCGCUAUUACAUAGAUGCAGACCUCUUAAGGGAAAUCAAGCAACACCUGAAGCAGCAGCAAGAAGGGCUGAGUCACCUAAUCAGCAUCAUCAAGGAUGACUUGGAGGACAUCAAGCUAAUAGAACACGGGCUGAAUGAGAGCAUUCCCAUCCGAGGGGGAGUCUUCAGUUGACUGGUGGAGGUUUACACAGAACAUGGUAGUGGAGUUCAUGGCUCACCUUCCAAGGCUAAAACUGUUGAGGUAAAAUAAAACACAUAUCUUGUAGGAGCAAAAUGGUAUUUUGUCUGUUACUUUUAGAAUUAGCAAAGCCUCUUCUAAGCUUUUAAAAUUGACCUUUGGAAGGUUUAUAUUUUAUAAAGCUGUACAUGCUUUAACAAAAGAAGGAAAACUGAAUCUGUUCAGAUACCAUUUUACUAUAAAACUAUAUGUACUAUUGUACAUUUUUUCCUUUUUUCUUCCUUUUUUACAACAGCAUUGUCCUAAAAAAUGCAGUGCUGAGGGGAUUGUUUCACUUGUGACUCGGUUUGUGGAAAGGUUAGCCUGCUUCCAUGUUUCUGUCAGAACAAUCAAGUAGCACCAUUGUGUAAACAGCUAACUUAAAUCAUUACAGAGAUGUUUGUUGCUGUAACUCUGUUGUUCUCUGCAAUACCAGUCGAUUACUGGGGCAAGCUCCAGAAAGUUCAUGUUUCCAGUUUCUGUCCUUCCUUUGGACUGCAAGGAUCUGAAGGUUAUGUUUUGAUCACUUUACAUAUAUGAAUAAUACAAAGCUUUGCUGCCCCUCUAAGUAACAGUAUGUCUGGAUGUUGUCUUCUGCCUUUUUUUUAAAUCACCCAAGAGUAAUAAAUUCAGUCUGACUUUGUAAUAA